rnacentral:lncRNA from 1 species
AAAUAUGAAUGUGCCUCUUGAUGUGUCAUAAGAAUCUCAUAACAUACAUUAUGUAUUCAAAUUUGGCACAACUUAUCAAAGCAUAUGAAACAGGGGGAGCACAACCUGAAUAUCAAAGGGGGAGUAAAAUGAAUGCUGAACUCUUUAAUAAAGAUAACUUGAAUAUCCUUGAGUGGUUAAUUAUAUUAUACUAUGAAUUGAGUUUUAAGCACCUAAUGAUAAUUUGUCCCCUUCAUUGUUGAUGACAAAAAGGGGGAGUAGAUAUUGAAUGUGGAGAUAUUGAAAGGGGGAGUAGAUAUAUAGAAAGAACCAAUAUGGAUAUUGAAUAUGGAAUGCAAAAUUUAUAAUCAUACUCCAAAGUUGAUUUAGAAAAGAUAAAAUUGAAGAAUAUUGACUUGAUUCAUCAAUAUUUCAUUUUAACUUGAUUCAAAUUCAGUUGAUAUGCUAAAAUUGCUUAAGAGCUAUAAAGUUCAAUCCCAUGCAAUUAUGCACACUGUAUCUAGCUCUAAUCAAAACAU